GAGUUAUGAUAAAAGAAAAUUUGUGUUUCUGAACUUUGUAAAUAUGAAGAUUUCUACACUUGACCUGAGCUCA